CCCUGACAGGCGCAAAUAGCGUCUGACUUAACCCACGACAGGAGAUAGACAUG
rnacentral:ncRNA from 1 species